CGAAGCAAAAGCUCGAUACGGCACUGAUACAAACGGAUUCAGUACUUUUAUACAACAACGUAUAAACCAUUACGACACUCAAGAUAAAAAAAGAAAAGUUGGCUUAUUGUCAUAUUUUAGUAAGAAUAAUUAUAACCUAGUCAAUCAAAAGAAAGAGUCUGAAAUCGUUACAAAAAUGAUAACUAAUUUGGCUCCUAACCAUGAUAAUACUCCUCUUCCUAUUGCAAAAAGCAUCGAUGUUGAGUGCACUGUUGGAAAUAGUAUAUCUUCACCAAAAGCUUAUAAAAAAANAAAC